rnacentral:rRNA from 1 species
AUUGAACGCUGGCGGCAUGCCUUACACAUGCAAGUCGAACGGUAACAGGUUAAGCUGACGAGUGGCGAACGGGUGAGUAAUACAUCGGAACGUGCCCAGUAGUGGGGGAUAGCCCGGCGAAAGCCGGAUUAAUACCGCAUACGACCUAAGGGUGAAAGGGGGGGAUCGCAAGACCUCUCGCUAUUGGAUCGGCCGAUGUCAGAUUAGGUAGUUGGUGGGGUAAAGGCCCACCAAGCCGACGAUCUGUAGCUGGUCUGAGAGGACGACCAGCCACACUGGGACUGAGACACGGCCCAGACUCCGACGGGAGGCAGCAGUGGGGAAUUUUGGACAAUGGGCGCAAGCCUGAUCCAGCCAUGCCGCGUGCGGGAAGAAGGCCUUCGGGUUGUAAACCGCUUUUGUCAGGGAAGAAAUCCUUUGGGUUAAUACCUCGGGGGGAUGACGGUACCUGAAGAAUAAGCACCGGCUAACUACGUGCCAGCCGCCGCCGUAA